CUGUCCGAGCGUCAUUACAACCCUCAAGCUCAGCUUGGUGUUGGGCCCCGCCGCCCCGGCGGGCCUAAGUCAGCGGCGGUGCCGUCCGGCUCCGAGCGUAGUAAUUCUUCUCGCUCUGGAGGUCCGGUCGUGUGCUUGCCAUCAACCCCCAAUUUUUUCAGGUUGACCUCGGAUCAGGUAGGGAUACCCGCUGAACUUAA
rnacentral:misc_RNA from 1 species